rnacentral:rRNA from 1 species
GAUGAACGCUGGCGGCGUGCUUAACACAUGCAAGUCGAACGGAAAGGCCGAAGCUUGCUUCGGUACUCGAGUGGCGAACGGGUGAGUAACACGUGGGUGAUCUGCCCUGUACUUCGGGAUAAGCUUGGGAAACUGGGUCUAAUACCGGAUAUGACAAUCUCUUGGAUGGGGUUGUGGAAAGCUUUUGCGGUAUGGGAUGAGCUCGCGGCCUAUCAGCUUGUUGGUGGGGUAAUGGCCUACCAAGGCGUCGACGGGUAGCCGGCCUGAGAGGGUGUACGGCCACAUUGGGACUGAGAUACGGCCCAGACUCCUACGGGAGGCAGCAGUGGGGAAUAUUGCACAAUGGGCGCAAGCCUGAUGCAGCGACGCCGCGUGGGGGAUGACGGCCUUCGGGUUGUAAACUCCUUUCGCAACCGACGAAGCUUUUGUGACGGUAGGUUGAGAAGAAGCACCGGCUAACUACGU